rnacentral:rRNA from 1 species
AUACGUAGGGUGCAAGCGUUAAUCGGAAUUACUGGGCGUAAAGCGUGCGCAGGCGGUUUUGUAAGACAGAGGUGAAAUCCCCGGGCUCAACCUGGGAACUGCCUUUGUGACUGCAAGGCUAGAGUACGGCAGAGGGGGAUGGAAUUCCGCGUGUAGCAGUGAAAUGCGUAGAUAUGCGGAGGAACACCGAUGGCGAAGGCAAUCCCCUGGUCCUGCACUGACGCUCAUGCACGAAAGCGUGGGGAGCAAACAGGAUUAGAUACCCUGGUAGUCCACGCCCUAAACGAUGUCAACUGGUUGUUGGGUCUUCAUUGACUCAGUAACGAAGCUAACGCGUGAAGUUGACCGCCUGGGGAGUACGGCCGCAAGGUUGAAACUCAAAUGAAUUGACGGGG